AACAAGUUUCAGUUCAUGUAAACAUCCUACACUCAGCUGUAAUGCUUGAACUGGCUGGGAGGUGGAUGUUUACGUUAGCUGACUUGGA
ensembl:miRNA